GUCUCCGUAGUUUAGCCGGUAGAACACCGGCUAAUGGUGCGGUAGAACUCGGGUUCGAGCCCCGCUGAAGGCA